ACUUUUAAAGGAAAAAAGAAAUCCGA
rnacentral:tRNA from 1 species